GCAGUGGGGAAUAUUGGACAAUGGGCGAAAGCCUGAUCCAGCCAUGUCGCAUGAGUGAAGAAGGCCUUUGGGUUGUAAAGCUCUUUUAGUGAGGAAGAUAAUGACGGUACUCACAGAAGAAGUCCUGGCUAACUCCGUGCCAGCAGCCGCGGUAAUACGGAGAGGGCUAGCGUUAUUCGGAAUUAUUGGGCGUAAAGGGCGCGUAGGCUGAUUAAUAAGUUAAAAGUGAAAUCCCGAGGCUUAACCUUGGAAUUGCUUUUAAAACUAUUAAUCUAGAGAUUGAAAGGGGAUAGAGGAAUUCCUGAUGUAGAGGUAAAAUUCGUAAAUAUUAGGAGGAACACCAGUGGCGAAGGCAUCUAUCUGGUUCAAAUCUGACGCUGAGGCGCGAAGGCGUGGGGAGCAAACAGGAUUAGAUACCCUGGUAGUCCACGCUGUAAACGAUGAAUGUUAAAUAUGGGAAGUUUACUUUCUGUAUUACAGCUAACGCGUUAAACAUUCCGCCUGGGGACUACGGUCGCAAGAUUAAAACUC
rnacentral:rRNA from 1 species